AAGUAGCUUGCUACUUUGCCGGCGAGCGGCGGACGGGUGAGUAAUGUCUGGGAAACUGCCUGAUGGAGGGGGAUAACUACUGGAAACGGUAGCUAAUACCGCAUAACGUCGCAAGACCAAAGAGGGGGACCUUCGGGCCUCUUGCCAUCAGAUGUGCCCAGAUGGGAUUAGCUAGUAGGUGGGGUAACGGCUCACCUAGGCGACGAUCCCUAGCUGGUCUGAGAGGAUGACCAGCCACACUGGAACUGAGACACGGUCCAGACUCCUACGGGAGGCAGCAGUGGGGAAUAUUGCACAAUGGGCGCAAGCCUGAUGCAGCCAUGCCGCGUGUAUGAAGAAGGCCUUCGGGUUGUAAAGUACUUUCAGCGGGGAGGAAGGUGUUGAGGUUAAUAACCUCAGCAAUUGACGUUACCCGCAGAAGAAGCACCGGCUAACUCCGUGCCAGCAGCCGCGGUAAUACGGAGGGUGCAAGCGUUAAUCGGAAUUACUGGGCGUAAAGCGCACGCAGGCGGUCUGUCAAGUCGGAUGUGAAAUCCCCGGGCUCAACCUGGGAACUGCAUUCGAAACUGGCAGGCUAGAGUCUUGUAGAGGGGGGUAGAA
rnacentral:rRNA from 1 species